rnacentral:misc_RNA from 1 species
GAUGAAGAACGUAGCGAAAUGCGAUAAGUAAUGUGAAUUGCAGAAUUCAGUGAAUCAUCGAAUCUUUGAACGCACCUUGCACCCUUUGGCAUUCCGAAGGGUAUGCUCGUUUGAGUGUCAUUGUACUCUCACACUCUCCGAUACUAUGGAUUCGGGGAGCGGUGGACUUGGGUGUUGCUGCCUUUCCUUGUGGCUCACCUCAAAUGUGUCAGUGCACCUCUUGGUUGGACAUAGUACGGCGUGAUAAGUGUCUUCGCCGGCACCUCGCAAGAGGGUGGCCGAUCGGGAGCUCUGUGCUUUCAAACCGUCUUCGGACAAUUUCUGACAACUUGACCUCAAAUCGAGUAGGACUACCCGCUGAACUUAAGCAUAUCAAUAAGCGGAGGA